ACACUCAGGACCCCCAUCUGUGAUGACCUGUCCCACUCAGACAACACCAACAUGGGUCCACUUACAGAAACUUUGUACUUACAGAACCUCACCCACUGGCCAGAGUAUUUGAUAGCUACAGAGGUGCUUGGAGAGCUUAUGGGUCACAUGAUGGGUAAAAUAAAUGUUUCUCUCGUAGCUAGGGAAGAAUUUCCCAGGCAUGUCACAGCCUUCUCUGUUGUCCUGGAAUUUCCAUGCCUUGGUUUGGCCGCUGAACUAAUGGAGGAGAAUUCCAAAAGAAAGGGUGAUUUUGAAAUGGAUCUCUCAAUAAGAGCAUCCAGUCAUGUUUCAGUCAACAUGUACAUACAGUUGGGCAAACUUCAUGUACAAGAUCGUCUUACCAUCAUCAAGUACUCAACUUGCAAAUGAAGAUGCUUGUGAUAAGAGGAAAGCAUUUUCACAGAAAUCUGUGAUACCAUUACCUCAUUCUGGGAGGCCUGAAGAUACUGAAUAA
rnacentral:lncRNA from 1 species